rnacentral:lncRNA from 1 species
UUCUCUGCUGGAGAGCUGGCACCCAUCUGGACUGGAAUUAAAAAUCCCUCAUUCCCUGCCAGAAGCCAAAACAAAUGAAAGGCAGCAUCAAGAGUUGGCUGUGAUCCUGGAUCUAAGUUGGGGCACUUAGGGCCUUGCCAAGGGACUCGGAUGGGCUUCCCCAGAGUUGCGUGAGCGCCUUGAGCCUGCGAUGGUGCGAGAAGCUGGCCUGCCCAUCUCUAAGGCGCUCAGUCAGAAGAAGGACCUUUCUGAAGAACAGGCUGAGGCGAGGUUGUCAGAAGGAGAGCACACCUGGAAGGGAUCCUGGCCUCCAGGCUGGAGUGCUCUUCUGGAACAAUGUGGUAAUCAAACAGGAACAGGCAAACCUCCGCGACAACGCAAUCCUGGAUCCAAUUCGUUGUGUUUUCUAUUGAGCUCCCUUUCAUGAUUCUUUUCUUGGGUACUUCUGAACACAUCUCCCACUCAGACAAUCAAGCAAUGUGCACCGUGUUUCACAGAGUGAACUUAUGAGCCAAACUGUAAUGAAAUAAUAAAAAUAGAAAUAAUCAUGGGAAGAAUGUCA